rfam:Schistosoma curassoni strain Dakar, Senegal genome assembly, scaffold: SCTD_contig0003728
UGCUGAGGAGUCCCACAAUGGGACGAAACGGCCGUCCA